rnacentral:tRNA from 2 species
GCAUUCGUAGCUCAGUUGGAUAGAGCAUUGCCCUCCGAAGGCAAAGGUCAUUGGUUCAAAUCCAAUCGAAUGCA